rnacentral:rRNA from 1 species
GUUUGAUCCUGGCUCAGAUUGAAACGCUGGCGGCAUGCCUUACACAUGCAGUCGAACGGCAGCGCGGGGCAACCUGGCGGCGAGUGGCGAACGGGUGAGUAAUACAUCGGAACGUACCCUGGAGUGGGGGAUAACGUAGCGAAAGUUACGCUAAUACCGCAUACGAUCUAAGGAUGAAAGUGGGGGAUUCGCAAGAACCUCAUGCUCCCGGAGCGGCCGAUAACUGAUUAGCUAGUUGGUGAGGUAAAGGCUCACCAAGGCUUCGAUCAGUAGCUGGUCUGAGAGGACGACCAGCCACACUGGAACUGAGACACGGUCCAGACUCCUACGGGAGGCAGCAGUGGGGAAUUUUGGACAAUGGGCGCAAGCCUGAUCCAGCAAUGCCGCGUGAGUGAAGAAGGCCUUCGGGUUGUAAAGCUCUUUUGUCAGGGAAGAAACGGUGAGGGCUAAUAUCUCUUGCUAAUGACGGUACCUGAAGAAUAAGCACCGGCUAACUACGUGCCAGCAGCCGCGGUAAUACGUAGGGUGCAAGCGUUAAUCGGAAUUGCUGGGCGUAAAGCGUGCGCAGGCGGUUUUGUAAGUUUGUCGUGAAAGCCCCGGGCUCAACCUGGGAAUUGCGAUGAAGACUGCAAGGCUUGAAUCUGGCAGAGGGGGGUAGAAUUCCACGUGUAGCAGUGAAAUGCGUAGAGAUGUGGAGGAACACCGAUGGCGAAGGCAGCCCCCUGGGUCAAGAUUGACGCUCAUGCACGAAAGCGUGGGGAGCAAACAGGAUUAGAUACCCUGGUAGUCCACGCCCUAAACGAUGUCUACUAGUUGUCGGGUUUUAAUUAACUUGGUAACGCAGCUAACGCGUGAAGUAGACCGCCUGGGAGUACGGUCGCAAGAUUAAAACUCAAAGGAAUUGACG